AAAACACACAAAAAAACACUUAAUUUAUUUUCGCGACAGAGGAAAAAAACGCAAAAGCUAAAAACUACUACCCUCUUCCCCCACGAUCUCCACUUCACCUUAAUUCGAUCAGUUAUGGAACACCAAGCUGAUUUCUUUCAAAAACCUCUCAAUCUCUUCCUUUUCUCAUCCAUGUUUCUCUUUCCUUUAAUCGGGUUCAUAAUCGAUACUUCAUUCUCCGGUUUCCUCCAACUUUUCCGGUUUACAUGGUUGGCGGUUCCAGCACCACAACACCGGACUACAAUGACACUUCUCCCUUCCUCUGUCUUCCAAUCUUCGUUUCUUCUACAAGUUCUUUAGUUUGCUACUGAAGUUUCAAGGAAUUUUGGGUGUUUUAUGUCAUUUAUGUAGUUGUAUAGUAAAUUUGGAACAUGGAUAGGUUUUCUUCUGACAUUUAAGCCUCGGGUUAGAGUGUGAAUGAUUCAUCUCUCUUAGUUUGGUUUGAGAUUGACAUGUAAGCUUACAAGGUUUGAUUCUGAGGCUGAAUGGUCGUGUUUGCAGGGUAUUGAUUUGAUCGCUGAAGGUAAUAGAAAAAAGACCAAAAGGACAGCUCCAAAGUGAGAUGAUGUCUACCCUAAGCUUAUUGUCAAGGUUACAAAUUCAGCAACGAUCUCUCUCCUUUGUUUUUGUUUCCCUUAUUUAAAGUGGCUUUUAAUUGGGUGAGUCUUAGUGAGUAUAAGAUUUAUUUUGAAGUUUUGUAGCUUUACCGUUUUCUGGUAAGGAGAACUCAGAGCAAGUUCAAUUUUGUGUGAUAUUGAAGAGGCUUUUCUCUAUCUAAGCUUGUGGAAUGCGUGACUGGCAAGUCGGUGGAUGAUUUAACUCUGUUGGAGAUGGAGAGCAUGAGGUCAGUCGACGCCGAUGAGACUGAGAAUCAGAUUAGAAGAUAAAAAUUGAUUGUUUGAUGAAAGAAGACAAAAAAAUUAUUGCCGACAAAAAAAAAAAAAAAAAAAANGAAG